rnacentral:rRNA from 1 species
UACGUAGGGUGCGAGCGUUGUCCGGAAUUAUUGGGCGUAAAGAGCUCGUAGGCGGUUUGUUGCGUCGGCCGUGAAAACCUGCAGCUUAACUGUGGGCCUGCGGCCGAUACGGGCAGACUUGAGUUCGGUAGGGGAGACUGGAAUUCCUGGUGUAGCGGUGAAAUGCGCAGAUAUCAGGAAGAACACCCGUGGCGAAGGCGGUUCUCUGGGACGGUACUGACGCUGAGACGCGAAAGCGUGGGGAGCGAACAGG